AAGACUAUAGACCUGCGGAGUACCUGCGGAGGGAUCAUUACAUGGCGGAGGAGGUGGGCACCUAGUAAAAACAAAACCCUAGGUGUGUUGCCUACCACGCUUUCUACCCUUGUCUAUUUGCACCUUUUGUCGUUCCCUCGGUGGGUCUUGAACCUGCCGGCGGCAACUUUCAAAAACCUUUUGUAGUUAGUAUCUAAUUCUUCUGAUCAAAUAUUCAAUCGUUACAACUUUUAACAACGG
rnacentral:misc_RNA from 1 species